rnacentral:misc_RNA from 1 species
UUUCCGUAGGUGAACCUGCGGAAGGAUCAUUAAAGAGUAAGGGUCUUCGGGCCCGAUCUCCAACCCUUUGUUUAACUACCAUGUUGCCUUGGCGGGCCCGUCUCACGACCGCCGGAAGUUUGGCUUCGACCAAACUUCUGGCCCGUGCCCGUCAGUGGCCCCUUCAAAUUCUUGAUCAAGUAUGAUGUCUUAGUUAAAGACUUAAUAGUUAAAACUUUCAACAACGGAUCUCUUGGUUCUG